rnacentral:rRNA from 1 species
UACGUAAGGGGCAAGCGUUGUCCGGAAUCACUGGGCGUAAAGCGCACGUAGGCGGUUUGCCAAGUUGGGGGUGUAAGCUCUAGGCUUAACCUAGAAAUUGCCUCCAAAACUAGCAUACUUGAGUAUUAGAGGGGAAGCUGGAAUUCACGGUGUAGCGGUGAAAUGCGUAGAUAUCGUGGAGAACACCCGUGGCGAAGGCGGGCUUCUGGCUAAUUACUGACGCUGAGGUGCGAAAGCUAGGGGAGCGAAAGGG